rnacentral:rRNA from 1 species
UGCACUAGUUUAUUUUGUUUAAGCGAUGGAGGGACGCAGGAGGCUAAGGAAAGCGCACGGCUGGAAAAGUGCGUCCAAGCCGCAAGUCUGGUGGCGAGUGAAAUGCUUGCGACCAUAAGGACAAGCGGUGAUGGGGAGCGAAAUUAAAGUAGCGAAGUUCCUGAUGUCACACUGCCAAGAAAAGCUUCUAGUGAGAAAUAAACUACCCGUACCGCAAACCGACACAGGUAGUCGAGGAGAGUAUCCUCAGGUGAGCGAGCGAACUCUCGUUAAG